CCUCCUGAGUGGGCGGAUCUCCACCCUGAAGGAUGAAACGGGAGCGAUCUUCAUCGAUCGAGACCCCACCGUCUUUGCGCCCAUUCUCAACUUCCUGCGAACCAAGGAGCUUGACCCCAGGGGCGUCAACAUCUCCCUGCUGCUGCAUGAAGCUGAGUUCUAUGGGAUCACCCCGCUGG